AAGCAUUUGGCCUUCACAUCUUCUGGAAGGGAGGAGGCCUGACGCAUUUCAAGCAGGAAGCCAUCCCACAAAAAUGGGGCCACAACCAAGAAGGUUCAACUCCCGAUGGAGACAUCUCUCAGCAUGACCACCUGUAAGCACGAGGCCUGGCAGGACCAGAUGGAAUGAGAAGUUCUUCAGGGCAGACACUUGGACAAGUAACAAGGACCCAAACUGGGCAAGAAGAACAAUGGCACAUGGUAGUAACCACAAGGAAAAUAGACGGGACACGGGAGAUAUGGCGGAUGGAAACUGAUGAGAGAAAUUGACCAUGGGCUGGCAGAUGAUUGGUAAGCAGGUGA